rnacentral:rRNA from 1 species
CGUGUAGGCGGCCGAAUAAGUCAGAUGUGAAAUCCCUGGGCUUAACCCAGGACGUGCAUUUGAAACUAUUCGGCUGGAGUAGGGGAGAGGAAAGUGGAAUUCCUGGUGUAGAGGUGAAAUUCGUAGAUAUCAGGAGGAACACCGGUGGCGAAGGCGACUUUCUGGCCCUAUACUGACGCUGAGACGCGAGAGCGUGGGUAGCAAACAG